CCUACGGGGUGCAGCAGUGGGGAAUUUUGGACAAUGGGCGCAAGCCUGAUCCAGCUAUUCCGCGUGUGGGAAGACGGCCUUCGGGUUGUAAACCACUUUUGUAGAGAACGAAAAGUCUGUUGAUAAUACCGAUAGAUGAUGACGGUACUCUAAGAAUAAGCAACGGCUAACUACGUGCCAGCAGCCGCGGUAAUACGUAGGGUGCGAUAGUUAAUCGGAAUUACUGGGCGUAAAGGGUGUGCAGGCGGUUUUGCAAGAUGGAUGUGAAAGCCCCGGGCUUAACCUGGGAAAGCCAUACAUGACUUCAAGACUAGAGUGCGUCAGAGGGGAGUGGAAUUCCAAGUGUAGCAGUGAAAUGCGUAGAUAUUUGGAAGAACACCGAUGGCGAAGGCAGCCCCCUGGGACGCAACUGACGCUCAUACACGAAAGCGUGGGGAGCAAACAGGAUUAGAUACCCCAGUAGUC
rnacentral:rRNA from 1 species